GUGUGCUGCUGUGCUGGUGAUCUCAGUGCCACAAUCAAACCUAGGCUUGAGGGAGAUUUACCAGCAAACCGCAAAGAUUUCAUAAUCGGAACCACAACUACUACUACUGCCUUAUGGAGGCAAUAGCAUAAUUUUGAAAGCUGUACAUGACAACAGUGCUGAGCCAAUGCUGGAAAUACUUCUGAGAGAACACCAAAUAAGCAAGUUGGCGAUGUUGAUCCAUGGAUAUGUUACAGAAUUUACCCCAUUUGGAACAAGAAAAGAGGGAGGAGAUUGUGGCUCCACAGACCUGCAAAAGUGGUGCUCGACAAAGAACAGUCUGAUGUAGGCUAACAAGAAUAAAUCAUGAAGUGGAUGUGAAAGGAAGCACAAAUGCAGGAUAGGUGCUUACCUAAGCACAAGAGAAAAACCUGGUAGCCUUCAGUCCUCUCAAAUACAUUGAGAAAGUGGGAUGCUGGCAUUAUUGUUCAUGAUCACUUUCUCUAGAAAUGUGAUGAGGUUGAAGGGAAGGGUAC